UUUAUGGAGAGUUUGAUCCUGGCUCAGAGUGAACGCUGGCGGCGUGCCUAAUACAUGCAAGUCGAACGAUGAAGCUUCUAGCUUGCUAGAAGUGGAUUAGUGGCGCACGGGUGAGUAACGCAUAGGUCAUGUGCCUCUUAGUUUGGGAUAGCCAUUGGAAACGAUGAUUAAUACCAGAUACUCCCUACGGGGGAAAGAUUUAUCGCUAAGAGAUCAGCCUAUGUCCUAUCAGCUUGUUGGUAAGGUAAUGGCUUACCAAGGCUAUGACGGGUAUCCGGCCUGAGAGGGUGAACGGACACACUGGAACUGAGACACGGUCCAGACUCCUACGGGAGGCAGCAGUAGGGAAUAUUGCUCAAUGGGGGAAACCCUGAAGCAGCAACGCCGCGUGGAGGAUGAAGGUUUUAGGAUUGUAAACUCCUUUUGUUAGAGAAGAUAAUGACGGUAUCUAACGAAUAAGCACCGGCUAACUCCGUGCCAGCAGCCGCGGUAAUACGGAGGGUGCAAGCGUUACUCGGAAUCACUGGGCGUAAAGAGCGCGUAGGCGGGAUAGUCAGUCAGGUGUGAAAUCCUAUGGCUUAACCAUAGAACUGCAUUUGAAACUACUAUUCUAGAGUGUGGGAGAGGUAGGUGGAAUUCUUGGUGUAGGGGUAAAAUCCGUAGAGAUCAAGAGGAAUACUCAUUGCGAAGGCGACCUGCUGGAACAUUACUGACGCUGAUUGCGCGAAAGCGUGGGGAGCAAACAGGAUUAGAUACCCUGGUAGUCCACGCCCUAAACGAUGGAUGCUAGUUGUUGGAGGGCUUAGUCUCUCCAGUAAUGCAGCUAACGCAUUAAGCAUCCCGCCUGGGGAGUACGGUCGCAAGAUUAAAACUCAAAGGAAUAGACGGGGACCCGCACAAGCGGUGGAGCAUGUGGUUUAAUUCGAAGAUACACGAAGAACCUUACCUAGGCUUGACAUUGAGAGAAUCCGCUAGAAAUAGUGGAGUGUCUGGCUUGCUAGACCUUGAAAACAGGUGCUGCACGGCUGUCGUCAGCUCGUGUCGUGAGAUGUUGGGUUAAGUCCCGCAACGAGCGCAACCCCCUUUCUUAGUUGCUAACAGGUUAUGCUGAGAACUCUAAGGAUACUGCCUCCGUAAGGAGGAGGAAGGUGGGGACGACGUCAAGUCAUCAUGGCCCUUACGCCUAGGGCUACACACGUGCUACAAUGGGGUGCACAAAGAGAAGCAAUACUGCGAAGUGGAGCCAAUCUUCAAAACACCUCUCAGUUCGGAUUGUAGGCUGCAACUCGCCUGCAUGAAGCUGGAAUCGCUAGUAAUCGCAAAUCAGCCAUGUUGCGGUGAAUACGUUCCCGGGUCUUGUACUCACCGCCCGUCACACCAUGGGAGUUGUGUUUGCCUUAAGUCAGGAUGCUAAAUUGGCUACUGCCCACGGCACACACAGCGACUGGGGUGAAGUCGUAACAAGGUAACCGUAGGUGAACCUGCGGUUGGAUCACCUCCUUUCUAGA
rnacentral:rRNA from 1 species